UACGGAGGGAGCUAGCGUUGUUCGGAAUUACUGGGCGUAAAGCGCGCGUAGGCGGUCCAUCAAGUCAGAGGUGAAAUCCCGGAGCUCAACUCCGGAACUGCCUUUGAAACUAGUGGACUAGAAUCUUGGAGAGGCGAGUGGAAUUCCGAGUGUAGAGGUGAAAUUCGUAGAUAUUCGGAAGAACACCAGUGGCGAAGGCGACUCGCUGGACAAGUAUUGACGCUGAGGUGCGAAAGCGUGGGGAGCAAACAGG
rnacentral:rRNA from 1 species